rnacentral:lncRNA from 1 species
CUGAUACCAAAUGAUAAGACCCUAAAGUCUUAUCGUAGGCUCUGAUACCAAAUGAUAAGACCCUAAGGUCUUAUCGUGAAAGAAAUGGGAGAAAAGGGAAUGAUAAUGAUCACUUCGAGGGGAUCGGCCCUCCUUGAUCUCUUCGAGGGGAUCAGCCCUCCUUGAUCUCUUCGAGGGGAUCGACCCUCCUUGAUCACUUCGAGGGGAUCGGCCUCCUAGGGUUUGUCCAAAGACAAUAGU